UAGGGAAUUUUUCACAAUGGGCGAAAGCCUGAUGGAGCGAUGCCGCGUGCAGGAUGAAGGUCUUCGGAUCGUAAACUGCUGUUAUAAGGGAAGAACGAUCAGGGGAGGAAAUGACCCUGAAGUGACGGUACCUUAUCAGAAAGCCCCGGCUAACUACGUGCCAGCAGCCGCGGUGAAACGUAGGGGGCGAGCGUUAUCCGGAAUUAUUGGGCGUAAAGGGUGCGUAGGCGGUCUAUUAAGUCCGAUGUGAAAGACCACAGCUUAACUGUGGAGGCGCAUUGGAAACUGGUGGACUUGAGUAUGGUAGAGGUAAGCGGAAUUUCCAGUGUAGCGGUGAAAUGCGUAGAUAUUGGAAGGAACACCAGUGGCGAAGGCGGCUUACUGGGCCAUUACUGACGCUGAGGCACGAAAGCGUGGGGAGCAAAUAGG
rnacentral:rRNA from 1 species